rnacentral:rRNA from 1 species
AAACCAACCGGGAUUGCCUUAGUAACGGCGAGUGAAGCGGCAAAAGCUCAAAUUUGAAAUCUGGUACCUUCGGUGCCCGAGUUGUAAUUUGGAGAGGGCAACUUUGGGGCCGUUCCUUGUCUAUGUUCCUUGGAACAGGACGUCAUAGAGGGUGAGAAUCCCGUGUGGCGAGGAGUGCGGUUCUUUGUAAAGUGCCUUCGAAGAGUCGAGUUGUUUGGGAAUGCAGCUCUAAGUGGGUGGUAAAUUCCAUCUAAAGCUAAAUAUUGGCGAGAGACCGAUAGCGAACAAGUACAGUGAUGGAAAGAUGAAAAGAACUUUGAAAAGAGAGUGAAAAAGUACGUGAAAUUGUUGAAAGGGAAGGGCAUUUGAUCAGACAUGGUGUUUUGUGCCCUCUGCUCCUUGUGGGUAGGGGAAUCUCGCAUUUCACUGGGCCAGCAUCAGUUUUGGUGGCAGGAUAAAUCCAUAGGAAUGUAGCUUGCCUCGGUAAGUAUUAUAGCCUGUGGGAAUACUGCCAGCUGGGACUGAGGACUGCGACGUAAGUCAAGGAUGCUGGCAUAAUGGUUAUAUGCCGCCCGUCUUGAAACACGGACCAA